AUUGAACGCUGGCGGCAUGCCUUACACAUGCAAGUCGAACGGCAGCACGGGAGCAAUCCUGGUGGCGAGUGGCGAACGGGUGAGUAAUAUAUCGGAACGUGCCCAGUCGUGGGGAUAACGUAGCGAAAGCUACGCUAAUACCGCAUACGAUCUAUGGAUGAAAGCGGGGGAUCGCAAGACCUCGCGCGAUUGGAGCGGCCGAUAUCAGAUUAGGUAGUUGGUGAGGUAAAGGCUCACCAAGCCGACGAUCUGUAGCUGGUCUGAGAGGACGACCAGCCACACUGGGACUGAGACACGGCCCAGACUCCUACGGGAGGCAGCAGUGGGGAAUUUUGGGACAAUGGGCGCAAGCCUGAUCCAGCAAUGCCGCGUGCAGGAUGAAGGCCUUCGG
rnacentral:rRNA from 1 species